rnacentral:rRNA from 1 species
UACGUAGGGGGCAAGCGUUGUCCGGAAUUAUUGGGCGUAAAGAGCGUGUAGGCGGCCAGGUAGGUGGGUUGUGAAAACUGGAGGCUCAACCUUCAGACGUCGACCUAAACCCCCUGGCUAGAGUCCGGAAGAGGAGAGUGGAAUUCCUGGUGUAGCGGUGAAAUGCGCAGAUAUCAGGAAGAACACCCGUGGCGAAGGCGGCUCUCUGGGACGGUACUGACGCUGAGACGCGAAAGCGUGGGGAGCGAACAGG